rnacentral:lncRNA from 1 species
ACGGCCGACACUCGGCUAACCGAGAGAUUGGUCGGUUAAUCUAUAUUGAGUAUGCGGCUAUAUGGGCGGUUGGUCUGUUAAUCGGGUUGGUUAUAUGUCUGUUAAGAGUAAAACGCACAAUUUAAUGUCAAAUUCUGUUAAAUAUACAGAUUUUUGGCAUAUUAUAAGAACCAAAUGAAAAAAAGAAAAGUGUCUGACAAAAUAAUAUCUAUCAUAGAACAUUUUCCACCUGUAAAAACAAUUUAUAGUCUGCGCAUUUUUCAGCAAAACUAAAAGGCGUCGCGCAGGUAUGUAGUAUUUAUGCUUAUACGCACAGCAAUUUUUUUAAUAAAAGACGAAAUAAACAGUUUUAGAUAUCAUUUAAAGGACACAAAAAAGUACUUUGGUUCUAAAAAAUAGAUUGAAAUUAGUAAAUAUUUCAUGAAUGUAAUAUAACGUGAAUAAUACCACGUUUUAGUGAAAAUUAUGGGAAUAAAGUCUGUUGAUGGGUUGGACAUUUGAAAUUGUGUCAGUUAAGAGUUAUUUAGCCACGACAAUAGUUUUGCUACCUUUAUAUUUUCCCAUUGAAAAAGUUAAGAAUGAGAUGUUCUUGAGUAAAUAAAAUGACAAUACGGUGCAACAGUAUCCUUCUAGUAAGAGCAUUUUUAUUUUGACUUUCUUUGCAUUUUAUUGAAGGGUGUGUCACUUCAAUUUAGCGUGAUAUAGAUUGGCCGCUGGAAUAUGCAUGCAUUUAUUAUUAACGUUUUCAAUCAGCCUUAAUAUUUGUGUCUGUUCAAAUUAAAGUAGCACGUUCUAAAAUCCGACUGAAGGUGUCUUUCUGAUACAGCACUGGGUACAGAAGAUCUUUUUUUAUUUCCUGUUAUGGGCCCCAAAGGGCAUAAACAUUAGAACAUAAAUAUUUUUCAUAAUACAAUACAAACAAUGAUAUAAAAAAAAUUUAUUGAGAACUAUUCAAGUUCUUAAAGAAUAUGUAGAUAAAGAAUCUAUAAUAUGUGGGUUUUUUUUUUAAAUACUAAUGCAUUUUAAUGCAAGUGUGGUUGAAAUAGGUAACAAACAAGCAACCCAAAAAGAAAAAAGAAAAAAUAGAUAUACAUAUAAAAAAGAAGAUGUGGUAUGAUUGCCAAUGAGACAACUGUCCACAAGAGACCAAAAUGACACAGACAUUAACAACAAUAGGUCACCGUACGGCCUUCAACAAUAAGCAAAGCCCAUACCGCAUACUCAGCUAUAAAAGGCCCCGAAAUGACAAUGUAAAACAAUUCAUACGAGAAAACUAACGGCCUUAUUUAUAUAUAAAAAAAAAUGAACGAAAAACAAAUAUGUAAUAAACAAACGACAACCACUGAAUUACAGGCUCCUGACUUGGGACAGGCACAUACAUGAAUAAUGUGGCUGGGGUUAAACAUGUUAGCGGGAUCCCCCCCUAACCUGGGACAGUGGUAUAACAAUACAACAUAAGAAUACAUGUAUAGUAUAGUACACAAUAAGUUAGAGCAAUUGUUCAAUAUAUACAUAUAACGUGUUGUCGUUCUCAUAUGUACAUGAUAUUUGUCACUGGACGUUCAACCCUAAUUCGUCAGUAUCAUCCAAUUGUUUCUUUUCUUCUAUUACUUGAUCAUAUGUUGUUUACAAAUCAUUCUAAAGAAGUAAAUGGAAAACAUCGAAUGUAGCUACAUUUGGUUAUCUUAAGUUUUAAUUCAUUUUAUUCCGUUUAGUUCCUUUCUACAUAAGUGCAGAAGAGAACUGCAGUUGUCUGCAUGUAAACUUCUAGCAUUUGUCACCAAUUUGAGUACAUCGCAAUCCGUUACUGUUUCAACACCCAUGGGUGUUUCAUGUCUGUAUUCUUAAACAAUUUUUAUUUUUUCUCUCUUUUUUAGCAAUGCACCACUCUCUACUGUCCUUAUCUAUUAUUCUUUAUUCUGCAUCUCCAUUCAGAUUCUCGUGUAUACCAUGAGGGUCCGGAUUUGGGGUGUUGUUUAUUUCUGUAUUCUUUAAAUUGUUAUGCCACUUUUCUCUACAUUUUAUUUAUCUUACUCAUUAUUCUUUCUCUAUUCUUUAUAUUCUAGCAUCCCAAUAUAUUUUACUUACUGAUGUUUAGUUACAUUACGACGUUUGUCUCUAAUUUAAAUGCUUGUUACUAAUGUAGAUGACUUUUGAACAGAAUCCACAAGAUUUGGAUGAAAUUAAUAUUACUUUAAUAUUACACUUUUUGAAACCAUUUUUAUCAAUUUUCAAUUUCUAUUGUCUAAAUUGUUCAUUGUUCAUGUGUUGUUUCCGUAUAUUUUAGCCGUUCGUCUUGAGCCUACCCAUGAUCCGACAACACCCCACAUAGUAGCAAUAAAAUUAUUCCUUUAUUGCCAUUCAUAACUCUUAACAGACCAAUUAACAGACCGAGUUUUAUACAGCCGACCCAUUAACAGACCAGGUUUUAAAUGAAAAUUGAUUAAUGUCACCAAAAUACAGAUUUUCGUGAAGAUUUUUCACACAAUGAUAUUAUUAUGGUUAACAAACAUAAUGUCUGUCUUUUUUUGAUGUUCAAAAUAUUGCAUGCAAGUAAAUUCGAACAAUGUGCCAUUUUGUGUACAUUUUGUGUGUGUAAAAUGUGUAUACAUUUAUUGAUGAGUAAUCCGCCUUUUCAUUUUAUAGAACGUUUAUCGAAGCUAGAAAAAAAAUUAUUACACCACUGGAUUCAGUAAAUUGAAUUGUUUUGUCAGACAUGAAUAUUUUUUAUGAUAAAAAUAUUUUUAAAAAGUUAUACAAUGAAACAUACUAAACUUGCAAUGAUUUUCUCGAUAACACAUGAUUAACAGACUUUAGCCAACCCGAUUAACAGACCAACCGCCGAUAUAGCCGCAUACUCAAUAUAGAUUAACCGAC